rnacentral:rRNA from 1 species
GGCCCCCUGCUGCAAUGAAGAUAGGGGGUCUGGCCUGCCCAGUGACUUAUGUUAAACGGCCGCGGUAUCCUAACCGUGCAAAGGUAGCGUAAUCAUUUGCCCAUUAAUUGUGGGCUAGUAUGAAUGGCUUGACGAGGGUGAGACUGUCUCCUGGCAGGGUAUGUAGAAUUUAUUUUUUAGGUGAAGAGGCCUAAAUGUGGCUAAGGGACGAUAAGACCCUGUCGAGCUUUAGUGGGACUCUGUAAGGUUAUGAUAAUAAAUUUAUAUUUUACUUUGCGGAAGAAUCUUUGAUUGGGGCGAUCAUAAAGUAAGCAAAACCUUUAGUGUGGAGUGUAGGCCGAUAGGUUAAAGAUCUGGCGUAUGGUGCAGAUAAGAAGAAUAAGCUACCGCAGGGAUAACAGCGUAAUACUUUUGGAGAGCUCUUAUUGAUAAAAGUGUUUGCGACCUCGAUGUUGGACUAGGAUAUCCUAAAGGUGUAGCAGCUUUUGAGGGUUGGUCUGUUCGACCAUUAAAAUCUUACA